AUUGAACGCUGGCGGCAGGCCUAACACAUGCAAGUCGAACGAGUAGCGGACGGGUGAGUAAUGUCUGGGAAACUGCCUGAUGGAGGGGGAUAACUACUGGAAACGGUAGCUAAUACCGCAUACCAUCAGCAGUGCCCAGAUGGGAGUAGCUUGUUGGUGGGGUAACGGCUCACCAAGGCGCCGAUCCCUAGCUGGUCUGAUAGGAUGACCAGCAACACUGGAACUGAGACACGGUCCAGCCUCCACAGGAAGGCAGCAGUGGGGAAGAUUGCACAAUGGGCGCAAGCCGGAUGCAGCCAUGCCGCGUGUAUGAUGAAGGCCUUCGGUUUGUUAAGGACUUUCAGCGGGGAGGCGUUACUCGCAGAAGAAGCACCGGCUAACUCCGGGCCAGCAGCCGCGGUAAUUC
rnacentral:rRNA from 1 species